rnacentral:rRNA from 1 species
GAUCAUGGCUCAGGAUGAACGCUGCGGCGUGCCUAACACAUGCAAGUCGAACGAAGCAUACGGACCGGAGAUUCGUCGAAGGACCGUAUGACUUAGUGGCGGACGGGUGAGUAAUGUAUGAGCAACCUGCCUUUCAGAGGGGGACAACAGUUGGAAACGACUGCUAAUACCGCGUAACGUAUCGUGGGGGCAUCCUCGUGAUACCAAAGGAGCAAUCCGCUGAAAGAUGGGCUCAUAUCUGAUUAGCUUGUUGGCGGGGUAACGGCCCACCAAGGCGACGAUCAGUAGCCGGACUGAGAGGUUGAACGGCCACAUUGGGACUGAGAUACGGCCCAGACUCCUACGGGAGGCAGCAGUGGGGAAUAUUGGGCAAUGGGCGAAAGCCUGAACCCCAGCAACGCCGCGUGAAGGAAGAAGGUCUUCGGAUUGUAAACUUCUUUUAUGAGGGACGAAGGACGUGACGGUACCUCAUGAAUAAGCCACGGCUAACUACGUGCCAGCAGCAGC